UACGUAGGGUGCAAGCGUUGUCCGGAAUUAUUGGGCGUAAAGGGCUCGUAGGCGGUUUGUCGCGUCGGGAGUGAAAACUCAGGGCUCAACCCUGAGCGUGCUUCCGAUACGGGCAGACUAGAGUCAGGUAGGGGAGAACGGAAUUCCUGGUGUAGCGGUGAAAUGCGCAGAUAUCAGGAGGAACACCGGUGGCGAAGGCGGGUCUCUGGGCAGUAACUGACGCUGAGGAGCGAAAGUGUGGGGAGCGAACAGG
rnacentral:rRNA from 1 species